UGCGUAGACGGUUAUGUAAGUCGGGUGUGAAAGCCCCGGGCUCAACCUGGGAAUUGCAUUCGAGACUGCAUAGCUAGGGUGCGGAAGAGGGAAGCGGAAUUUCCGGUGUAGCGGUGAAAUGCGUAGAUAUCGGAAGGAACACCAGUGGCGAAAGCGGCUUCCUGGUCCAGCACCGACGUUCAGGUACGAAAGCGUGGGGAGCAAACAGGAUUAGAUACCCUGGUAGUCCACGCCAUAAACGAUGAGAACUAGACGUUGAGAGGGUAAGCCUCGCAGUGUCGUAGCUAACGCGCUAAGUUCUCCGCCUGGGGAGUACGGCCGCAAGGUUGAA
rnacentral:rRNA from 1 species